rnacentral:rRNA from 1 species
GACAGAGGCCUCAAGCGUUAGGCGGAAUCACUGGGCUUAAAGCGUGUGUAGGCGGAUCGUUAAGUGUCUUGUGAAAUCCCACGGCUCACCCGUGGAACUGCUGGGCAUACUGGCGAUCUUGGGCCAACUAGGGGCAACUGGAACAAGCGGUGGAGCGGUGAAAUGCGUAGAUAUCGCGUGGAACGCCGAAGGUGAAAACAGGUUGCUGGGGUUGUGCCGACGCUGAGACACGAAAGCCAGGGGAGCAAACGGG